rnacentral:rRNA from 1 species
UACGAAGGGUGCAAGCGUUACUCGGAAUUACUGGGCGUAAAGCGUGCGUAGGCGGUUUGUUAAGUCCGUUGUGAAAGCCCUGGGCUCAACCUGGGAAUUGCAGUGGAUACUGGCGAGCUAGAGUGCGGUAGAGGAUGGUGGAAUUCCCGGUGUAGCGGUGAAAUGCGUAGAGAUCGGGAGGAACACCCGUGGCGAAGGCGGCCAUCUGGACCAGCACUAACGCUGAGGCACGAAAGCGUGGGGAGCAAACAGG